CUACGGGGGGCACCAGUGAGGAAUAUUGCACAAUGGGGGGAACCCUGAUGCAGCAACGCCGCGUGGAGGAUGACGCAUUUCGGUGUGUAAACUCCUUUUAUAUGUCAAGCAAAUGACGGUAGCAUAUGAAUAAGCACCGGCUAACUCCGUGCCAGCAGCCGCGGUAAUACGGAGGGUGCAAGCGUUACUCGGAAUCACUGGGCGUAAAGGACGCGUAGGCGGAUUGGAAAGUCAGGUGUGAAAUCCUACAGCUUAACUGUAGAACUGCACUUGAAACUUCUAAUCUAGAGUAUGGGAGGGGGAGAUGGAAUUAGUGGUGUAGGGGUAAAAUCCGUAGAUAUCACUAGGAAUACCUAAAGCGAAGGCGAUCUCCUGGAACAUUACUGACGCUAAGGCGUGAAAGCGUGGGGAGCAAACAGGAUUAGAUACCCCCGUAGUC
rnacentral:rRNA from 1 species